AAAACGACGUCGUUUUGCUUGUCACCAAAACCCAACCCUAACUUUCCUCUUUCACGCUGCCUCUCUUCAGUCUCCUCUCUUACUCUGGCUCUCGAUCUCCACUCCCGCAGCCACGCUCACGCCGAAGACUUCCAUCAGCCCACAAACCGGCGGCCCCCCCUCCCCCUUCUCUCUCUCUCUCUCUCUCUCUCUCUCUCGCUCUCUCGUUUUGGCUUGAAUUCGUAUCACGAUUAAACUUAUUUUAUCUCGUUUUGGGCAGAGAAACUUCAGGAACGACAUAAUAUGUGUUCGGCUAUUCUAUCUCUACUGGUAUUCUCUCUCUCUCUCUCUCUAUGGCCAGCGGAUAUGUGGUAGUGAAGGGGUUGUGGGUUCAUUGAUGGCUGUAACAGAUCUGUGGUGUGGAAGCGAGGGACAGCCCAACAACCUUAAGGGUUCUGAAUCUAUCUCCUGUCCAUAUAAGCACUCUCUGUCUCUGGGGUUCGUCGUUCAUCUCGCCACUGGUAUCUCUCUCUUUCUCCGUGUGUGUUUCUCUCUGAAUGUCUCUUUUUUCUCCGGUGGAGUUUGGCUUCGGUGGUCAGGGUUGGAUUUCGAGCUAGGGCAGUCUAUUCAGGGAGGGAUGGGGUCGUGGUGAAAGGAAGAUUUGGGUUAGGGCACAAAAAGCUUGGUUCGCUUGUAGGAAAUGAUAAACCCCUUACUUUGUUGGAGGGGUUACUUGUGUACAUUCUCUGUUUUUGUUUGAUCUGUUGGUUUUCUUUACUGCAUGACUUGAUUUAGUGUUCCAUGAAGCCAAUAUUCUUGGAUUCUUUUUUAGUAAGUUUCAAUUACCGGUCAUAUGGAAAUCUAGAUGUCCACGUAUGUAGCUCUGCUAUUAAGUUCAAGUUUUCUAAUAUGAUCGAUGUUGGUUAAUAUGAUUACCUUAACUUGUUCAAAUCUGUGUAAUUGAACCGAAAGGAGGUAGAUUAUACUGGCGUGUAAAGAAAUGUGAAGGAAGAGAUUCAUUGAAACUACUCUUUAAGCUUUUUGAAGACUAAUAAUAUGCGAGAGAUGGGUUAACUCAACUACUCAAGUUUGCAAAGGAAUUUGUAAUUCUAUUCUAGAUCUAAGGCCCUUUUUUCAUGGUUGUAGUCUUGUAGAUGAGCUCAAUUUUGAAGGAAAGGCACCUCUCAAUUUGUUUUUGUAACUUGUUCCUAAGUGAAAUUGUUGAUUGAGUUUGUUCGUGGAGAUUGCCGUCCGUUUCUCGGUCUGGAAUGAGUUGGCUUAUGAUUGAGUUUGUAAACUGUUCCUAUGUGACCUUCAAACUGUAUUUUUGUUUUAAACCCGUUUAUAGCCCCUUUUUUAGUUUAGCGGGCGGACCACAUGGAAAAAAACAGAAGCCAUUGCUAUGCUUUAUUUCCCCAAAAUUUGAACAUUAGGUUUAAAACUUAAGAGUCAGAAAAUGCCCCUCUUGUGCUUAAUUUCCUUAUUGUCUUCAUUUAUUUUCCUUUUUGCUUUUAGAAUAGAACCGGGGCUCUUUUUGUCAUGUUGGCGGAGGAGCGCGGGGGGUUUUGCCAUUGCUUUAUCUGGUGUUCUCGGCUUGAUGGGGGUACCAAUAGUUUCCUUUUUCCAUAUUUUUUUGUUUCCUUUUACUUUUAUGUGGUCUUAUGCAUUGGGUUUGUAUUUCUAGUGGAAAUCAGGAAAGUGUGUGAAGCUCCUGAUAACAAGAUUGUUGGUUGGACCAAGUGGUAGAUAUUUUGGGCCAAGGAGCGUGUUGUGGCUAAAAGUUAUGCUGAUAGCAAUUAUAAACAGCCAAAGGAUGGCCUUCUAUCAAAGGUAGUGAGUGAUCGAAUCUAACUUGAUAUACGCUUGUACAUCUAGUUAACAGUAAUGAUUUUUUGCUUCUUUUUCUAGAUUCUUAUUGUGUUGAUUUCAUUCUUUUAAAAUUGGGUACAAAAUACUUAGUUUGUGGUCACGGUUAACAGUUGAAGAGGCAAUCUGGUAGGGGGCCAAUUUCGGAGCCUUUAGUAUUGUCUCCUACAUAAUUGCGUAAGUUUUAAUGAAGUCUAUUACAAGUUACCUGUUUAAUUGGGCCAAUCGGUUAAUAUCUAAGUGAGACUACAUAAUUGAGACAUUUGUUUGAUUGACUAAAUGCCCAAACCAUUCUAUUCUGUGGUUACUUUUUGGCUUUGGAUACUUAGCACCUCUAUGUUGUGGUUACUUUUCGGAGUUGCGACUGUGCUAGUUUCCAGAUGCUUUUUAUUUUGCUUAUUGAUUGGUAGGGUUUAUCUUUUAAGGUUUUUUUGUCCAGGUGAACAUGAGUGGCUAUCUUCCAGGAAGGAUUGUAUCUUCUUCUUGGUAUGCUUUUUCCUCUAUUUUAGUAUGUAUUGUUUUUACUUUGAUUGAGUAAUGUUGUUUGAUUUAUCCUUGUUUCCCCCUGUUGAUUUGUUGGCAUUGCUAUUCAUUAAUAUGCAACCAGUGUAGAUUUAUCCAAUCUUUCUUGAGUUACUACUUUGUUGGUUCUUUUUGCUUGGAUCUUUAGUUAAUCAUUGUCGUUUUCUAAGUUGGAAUUGUAUUGCCUUGGUCAUAUUUUGUGCUGCAUGAAUACAGUGAUUUUUUUUGGCUUUACUGCAGUGGUUUUGAACAUUUGAUUGUAAUUGUUUCUAGAUUACAUGUUUGACAGACACCCUUAUUGGCUGAAAGAAGCAAGGACAUUAGGGUGGUAAAUGUAGAUCGUUUAUGAUGUUGAACACCUGGAUUAAACUUUUUCGGUAGUAUCUUUAGUUAUAAACGAUUAAAAGGUACCAAUUACUGUGUUGUAUCAAACUAAGCAUUAAGGAUGGCUAUACUAAAGCAAUUUUGGCUGGUUCCAUAGGGCAGUUUACUGUUUGAUGCAUUGACAGAGUGCAUACUGAUGUGGUCAUGGCCAAAUUUGUCUUGCAAUAGGUUCGUCCAACAUUGAUUUGCAUGUAUAAUUCUUUGUGAUGAAUGUAUUUUAGCCCUACUACUUGUGUGUGGCUGCAGGGUAGGAUGACAAUGUCGGACCAAAUGGACCUCUUAGUUGAGCAAGUGAAGAUGCUAGCUGGUUAGAUUGCAUUCAGCACAAGUAACUUGAAGCGUUUAGUAGAACAAUCUGUCAAUGAUUCUGAUAGUUCAAAAACUCAAGUAAGUAAGGAGAUGGAGUUGCUUUUUGGAAGCUAACCAAGAUAGAGUUGAAGACUUUUUGGUAGUUAUUUUUGGAAGCUAACCAAGAUGGAGUUGAAGACUCUUUGGUAGUUAAAUGGAACAAUUGUUGAGUUCUUUUUGGAUAUGGAUGUUUUGUAGUUUCGAUAAUGUUAAGUUUGAAGUGAUUAUUGUUGGAGGAUGAAUGUUUUGAAAGGUUUUGAAGUUGGAUGAUGAUGUUGACUUAAUGGAUAUUUGAUUUGAAUGAUAUUUUGCUUCUUCGCA